GACGAACGCUGGCGGCGUGCUUAACACAUGCAAGUCGAACGAUGAAGCCGGAGCUUGCUCUGGUGAAUUAGUGGCGAACGGGUGAGUAACACGUGAGUAACCUGCCCUUGACUCUGGGAUAACUGCUAGAAAUGGUAGCUAAUACCGGAUACGACCCUCGGAGGCAUCCCCAGGGGGUGGAAAGAAUUUCGGUCAAGGAUGGACUCGCGGCCUAUCAGCCAGUUGGUGAGGUAACGGCUCACCAAGGCGACGACGGGUAGCCGGCCUGAGAGGGUGACCGGCCACACUGGGACUGAGACCCGGCCCAGACUCCUACGGGAGGCAGCAGUGGGGAAUAAUGCACAAUGGGCGAAAGCCUGAUGCAGCAACGCCGCGUGAGGGGUGACGGCCUUCGGGUUGUAAACCUCUUUUAGUAGGGAAGAAGCGAAAGUGACGGUACCUGCAGAAAAAGCACCGGCUAACUACGUGCCAGCAGCCGCAGUAA
rnacentral:rRNA from 1 species